rnacentral:rRNA from 1 species
UACGUAGGGCGCAAGCGUUGUCCGGAAUUAUUGGGCGUAAAGAGCUCGUAGGCGGCCUGUUGCGUCCGCUGUGAAAUCCCGGGGCUCGACCCCGGGCCUGCAGUGGAUACGGGCUGGCUAGAGGCAGGCAGGGGAGAACGGAAUUCCUGGUGUAGCGGUGAAAUGCGCAGAUAUCAGGAGGAACACCGGUGGCGAAGGCGGUUCUCUGGGCCUUACCUGACGCUGAGGAGCGAAAGCGUGGGGAGCGAACAGG